UGCAUCGGCCGGGAAUCGAACUCGGCGCGCGUGGCAGGCGAGCAUUCUACCACUGAACCAAAAGC